ACCUGGCUGGCUCAGUUGGUGGAGCAUGUGACUCUUGAUCUCAGGGUUAUGAGUUCAAGCCUCACGUUGAGUG
rfam:Canis lupus familiaris chromosome 22, whole genome shotgun sequence.